rnacentral:rRNA from 1 species
AGUGAACGCUGGCGGUAGGCCUAACACAUGCAAGUCGAACGGCAGCACAGUAAGAGCUUGCUCUUACGGGUGGCGAGUGGCGGACGGGUGAGGAAUACAUCGGAAUCUACUUUUUCGUGGGGGAUAACGUAGGGAAACUUACGCUAAUACCGCAUACGACCUACGGGUGAAAGCAGGGGAUCUUCGGACCUUGCGCGAUUGAAUGAGCCGAUGUCGGAUUAGCUAGUUGGCGGGGUAAAGGCCCACCAAGGCGACGAUCCGUAGCUGGUCUGAGAGGAUGAUCAGACACACUGGAACUGAGACACGGUCCAGACUCCUGCGGGAGGCAGCAGUGGGGAAUAUUGGACAAUGGGCGCAAGCCUGAUCCAGCCAUACCGCGUGGGUGAAGAAGGCCUUCGGGUUGUAAAGCCCUUUUGUUGGGAAAGAAAAGCAGCAGGUUAAUACCCCGCUGUUCUGACGGUACCCAAAGAAUAAGCACCGGCUAACUUCGUG